rnacentral:rRNA from 1 species
UACGAAGGGGGCUAGCGUUGCUCGGAAUCACUGGGCGUAAAGCGCACGUAGGCGGCUUUCUAAGUCAGGGGUGAAAUCCUGGAGCUCAACUCCAGAACUGCCUUUGAUACUGGAGAGCUUGAGUCCGGAAGAGGUGAGUGGAACUCCGAGUGUAGAGGUGAAAUUCGUAGAUAUCUGGAGGAACACCGGUGGCGAAGGCGGCAUCCUGGACCGGCAUUGACGCUGAGGCGCGAAAGCCAGGGGAGCAAACGGG